rnacentral:tRNA from 1 species
UAAUUAAUUAGGAUAAUUAUUCUAUUAACCUUCAAAGUUAAAGAUGCUGUUAUAAUCUAA